GACGAACGCUGGCGGCGUGCCUAAUACAUGCAAGUCGAACGCAUCCCGCUGAUUGAAGUGCUUGCACUGAUUUUCGGCAUUGGAUGAGUGGCGAACUGGUGAGUAACACGUGGGUAACCUGCCCGGAAGCAGGGGAUAACACUUGGAAACAGGUGCUAAUACCGUAUAACAACUGAAACCGCAUGGUUUCAGUUUGAAAGAUGGUUUCGGCUAUCACUUCUGGAUGGACCCGCGGCGUAUUAGCUAGUUGGUGGAGUAAUGGUUCACCAAGGCAAUGAUACGUAGCCGACCUGAGAGGGUAAUCGGCCACAUUGGGACUGAGACACGGCCCAAACUCCUACGGGAGGCAGCAGUAGGGAAUCUUCCACAAUGGACGAAAGUCUGAUGGAGCAACGCCGCGUGAGUGAAGAAGGGUUUCGGCUCGUAAAACUCUGUUGUUGAAGAAGAACACAUCUGAGAGUAACUGUUCAGGUGUUGACGGUAUUUAACCAGAAAGCCACGGCUAACUACGUGCCAGCAGCCGCGGUAAUACGUAGGUGGCAAGCGUUGUCCGGAUUUAUUGGGCGUAAAGCGAGCGCAGGCGGUUUCUUAAGUCUGAUGUGAAAGCCUUCGGCUUAACCGGAGAAGUGCAUCGGAAACUGGGAGACUUGAGUGCAG
rnacentral:rRNA from 1 species